GAAGGGUUGUAUAUGCUGACUGGCUGAACAGAUAAGGAGCUUGCUCCUUUGGUGUUAGCGGCGCACGGGUGAGUAACACGUGGGUAACCUACCUAUAAGACUGGAAUAACUCCGGGAAACCGGGGCUAAUGCCGGAUAACAUUUUGAACCGCAUGGUUCUAUAGUGAAAGACGGUUUUGCUAUCACUUAUAGAUGGACCCCCCCCCUAUUAGCUAGUUGGUAAGGUAAAGGCUUAACAAGGGCAACAUACCUAACCCACCUGAAAGGGUGAUCGGCCACACUGGAACUGGAACACGGUCCAAAAUUCUACGGGAGGCAGCAGUAGGGAAUCCUCCGCAAUGGGCCAAAGCCUGGACGAACAACGCCCCGUUAAUGGUGGAAGGUUUCGGCACCGAAACUCUGGUAUUAGGGAAAACAUAUUUUUAUAUAACUGUGCCAGCUUGACGCUACCUAACCGGAAGCCCCGGUACCUACGUGCAGAGCCCGGGGUAAACGUAGUGGCAGCGUAUCCGAAUAAUGGGCCUAAGCGCGCUUAGCGUUUCUUAGUCUGAGGGAAGCCCACGCUCAACGUGGAGGGCAUUGAAACUGGGAACUUGAUGCAGAAGAGGAAGUGAAUCCUGUUUAGCGUGAAAUGCCAGAAUAUGGAGACACAUGGCGAAGGCACUUCUGACAGUACUGACCUGACUGCGAAAGCGUGGGGAUCAAACAGGAUUAGAUACCCUGGUAGUCCACGCCGUAAACGAUGAGUGCUAAGUGUUAGGGGGUUUCCGCCCCUUAGUGCUGCAGCUAACGCAUUAAGCACUCCGCCUGGGGAGUACGACCGCAAGGUUGAAACUCAAAGGAAUUGACGGGGACCCGCACAAGCGGUGGAGCAUGUGGUUUAAUUCGAAGCAACGCGAAGAACCUUACCAAAUCUUGACAUCCUUUGACCACUCUAAAGA
rnacentral:rRNA from 1 species